rnacentral:lncRNA from 1 species
GGGUAUCUAGUUUAAAAAUGUGUGGCGUGACCCGGUCAACCAACCAAGAUGGCCGCCACGGCUAAAAAUAGAACAUAGGGGUAAAAUGCAGUUUUUGGCUUAUAACUCAAAAACCAAAGCAUUUAGAGGAAAUCUGACGGGGUAAAUAUGUUUAUCAGGUCAAGAUCUAUCUGCCCUGAAAUUUUCAGAUGAAUCGGUCAACCCGUUGUUGGGUUGCUGCCCCUGAAUUGGUCAUUUUGAGGAAAUUUUGCUGUUUUUGGUUAUUAUCUUGAAUAUUAUUAUAGAUAGAGAUAAACUGUAAACAGCAAUAAUGUUCGGCAAAGUUAGAUUUACAAAUAAGUCAACAUGACCGAAAUGGUCAGUUGACCCCUUUAGGAGUUAUUGCC